UUCCCUUUGUAAUUAAACCUUUGUUUGGGGUUUCAGUGCAUUCCUUGCUGCACCAAAGUCACUACUUUUCCAUGACAUCUUCUCCUUUCUGUGUUGUUCAGGUAGUUAUGCUGCCCUGAUCACAGCAACACUGGAGUUCUUCAAGGAGUGCAUCAUCACAGGACUUAGAUUUAUCUUCUGUGGCUCUCACUUCUUCCAUGUCUCUGAAAUAUUAACAGAGGAGGAGGAUGUGAUUAGUGUUUUCUGCCAUGGGAUGUCAGCUGAGGGAUGAGAACCGUGUGCCAAGAGGAGGAAAGAGCUGUCACAGAUGGAUGGUGCAUCGAUGGCUUCUGUCAUGUUGCUGCUGGGUCGAGAUCUGUG
rnacentral:lncRNA from 1 species